rnacentral:lncRNA from 12 species
ACUACUGCUGAGGAUUCUAGAACUCUGGCUCUAUUGCUCAGCUCCCAGUGGUGACACCAUUUGGUGUACCCAAGCCUGGGGGGCAGAGCCAGGCUGUCUGUAUAAGAACAAGCAGCAAAGAUACAUAUGGGAAAUGAUCUGAAGGAGGCCAGAAAUGUAAUAUGGCCAAAGAUUUCUCUUCCUGGGACCCCUUGCAGACUGUUAUGAAGCAGAUGGCAGGGAUAGGAGGUUAACUUUCCACUUGGAAGUGGGGGAAAAAUACCUUCGGCGUCUUUACACCCACACCAGAGAUUUCCAUGCAAGGAAACGGGCACUCAAUCUAGAAGCGACAAGCCCCCGCCACCGGCCAACCGUGACAGCCCGGCUCGUUCCUCAUUCUGACGUGGCUGCAAGCGACACUAGGCUCCUUGGCGACAACCUCAAGGUUAGAACGCUGAAGAAGAUGGUUUUGCAUAGCUGUGUAAACAUCGUUUCUGCUUCCCAGGAUGACAGCAAAGGGGGAAACUCAUAACAACAUUAGCAUUUUCACUUACUGAGCACCUU